UACCCAAUCCCGAUUCGGGGAGGUAGUGACAAUAAAUAACAAUACAGGGCCAACGGUCUUGUUAUUGGAAUGAGAACAAUUUAAAUAACUUAACGAGGAUCAAUUAGAGGGCAAGUCUGGUGCCAGCAGCCGCGGUAAUUCCAGCUCUAAUAGCGUAUAUUAAAGUUGUUGCAGUUAAAAAGCUCGUAGUCGGAUGUCGGGCUCGGGCAGGCUGUCGGCUUCGGUCGGACGGCAGGCUCGGGUCUUUCUGCCUGAGGAUCCCGUUGCACUUGAUUGUGGGGCGUGGGGACGCAGGCCGUUUACUUUGAAAAAAUUAGAGUGUUCAAAGCAGGCCUACGCUUGAAUACAUUAGCAUGGAAUAAUGGAAUAGGACUUUGGUGCUAUUUUGUUGGUUUAUGGGACCGAAGUAAUGAUUAACAGGGACAGUUGGGGCCGUUUAUAUUUCGUUGUCAGAGGUGAAAUUCUUGGAUUUACGAAAGAUAAACUUCUGCGAAAGCAUUCGGCAAGGAUGUUUUCAUUGAUCAAGAACGAAAGUUAGGGGAUCGAAGACGAUCAGAUACCGUCGUAGUCUUAACCAUAAACUAUGCCGACUAGGGAUCAGUGGAUGUCAAUUUGCGACUCCAUUGGCACCUUGUGAGAAAUCAAAGUUUUUGGGUUCCGGGGGGAGUAUGGUCGCAAAGCUGAAACUUAAAGGAAUUGACGGAAGGGCACCACCAGGAGUGGAGCCUGCGGCUUAAUUUGACUCAACACGGGGAAACUUACCAGGUCCAGACAUAGUAAGGAUUGACAGAUUGAAAGCUCUUUCUUGAUUCUAUGGGUG
rnacentral:rRNA from 1 species